rnacentral:rRNA from 1 species
UACGUAGGGUGCAAGCGUUGUCCGGAAUUAUUGGGCGUAAAGAGUUCGUAGGCGGUUUGUCGCGUCUGCUGUGAAAACUCGAGGCUCAACCUCGAGACGUCGGUGGAAACCGUUUGGCUAGAGUCCGGAAGAGGAGAGUGGAAUUCCCGGUGUAGCGGUGAAAUGCGCAGAUAUCGGGAAGAACACCCGUGGCGAAGGCGGCUCUCUGGGACGGUACUGACGCUGAGACGCGAAAGCGUGGGGAGCGAACAGG